UCUUGUAUACUGGCUUAUUUAAAUGAUUAUUUUCCACUUGUGAUUUCCUUCAUCCUUUAUCUUCCUACUUCUUUCCUAUUUAGAGGAAGGCUUCAAUCUUUUUCUUUCUUUCUUUUCUUUUCUUUUCCUUUCUUUCUUUCUUUUCUUUUCUUUUCCUUUCUUUCUUUUCUUUUCUUUUCUUUUCUUUUCUUUCUUUCUUUCUUUCUUUCUUUCUUUCUUUCUUUCUUUCUUUCUUUCUUUCUUUCUUUCUUUCUUUCUUUCUUUCUUCCUCUCUCUCUCUCUCUCUCCCCCCCCCCCCCUCUCUCUCUCUCUCUCUCUCUCUCUCUCGGCCACACCCAUGGCAUAUGGAGGUUCCCAGGCUAGAGGUCCAGUCGCAGCUGCAGUUGUUGCCUACACCACAGCCACAGCAACCAGGGAUCCGAGCCUCAUCUGCGACCUACACCACAGCUCACGGCAACUCGGGAUCCUUAACCCACUGAGAGAGGCCAGGGAUCCAACCUGCAACACCAUGGUUACUAGUUGGGUUCAUUAACCACUGAGUCACAAUGGGAACUCCCCUUUCAAUAUUUCCUUUUAGGAUAGGUUUACUCUUUCUGUAUUCUUUUUUUUUUUUUUUUUUUUUUUGUCUUUUGUCUUUGUUGUUGUUGUUGUUGUUGUUGUUGCUGUUUCUUGGGCCGCUCCCACGGCAUAUGGAGGUUCCCAGGCUAGGGGUCUAAUCAGAGCUGUAGCCACCGGCCUACGCCAGAGCCACAGCAACGCGGGAUCCGAGCCGCGUCUGCGACCUACACCACAGCUCAUGGCAACGCCGGAUCGUUAACCCACUGAGCAAGGGCAAGGACCGAACCCGCAAAUUCAUGGUUCCUAGUCGGAUUUGUUAACCACUGCGCCACGACGGGAACUUCUCUUUCUGUAUUCUUACAGUUUUUGUUUGCCUGAGAAAUUUUUUAUUUCUCCUAUUUUAAAUGAUAAUCUUGGUGGGUAGAGUAUUCCAGGUUGCAAAAUUUUCCCUUUUAGAACUUUUAAUAUAUCUUGCUACUCUCUUCUUUAGACCCACUCUUGUGGUGCUGAGAAUACUUCAUUCUAUCUGAUACUUGUCAGGCAGGGGAGGGACAGAUGUGUUUCUGGAGAUGUUUUCUCUUAUUUUUUCUUUGCUUCUAUGAAAUAAUUUACAAAACCUUGACUUGCUAAUGCAUAUUAAGAGAGUCAAUAUAUAUUUGGCUCUUCUGAGCUGUUGAGGAGUAGUUUGUUAGAAACUUUUGUAUUAUUUUAACAGUAUGAUUUAAAUCACUCCAAUAAAAUGUACAUGAAUGUAUUCUCAUUUCUAAAAAGGAAAAUCAUACUAAAUAAGGCUAAAGUCCCCUUUGAUCAUCCCAAUCUUGAUUCCUUCCCCACUUUCCUCGAGGUUUUCAUGGUUAUCAGUUUGGUGUAUAUCCUUGUAGAGCUUUAUUCUGCACAUCUACAUACAUUUAUAUGUACCCAUGGAAAAUCUGUAGUAUUUGUAUGCAAGUGUCUAUGCAGGUAGCACUGUGUGUCUAUAUGUGUGUUUAAGAACAUGAAAGGUGGGAGUUCCCUGGUGGCCUAGCAGCUAAGGAUCUACAAUUGUCACUGCUGUUGCAUGGGUUUUAUCUCUGGCCCAGGAACUUCUGCAUGUUGUGGGUGCAGCCCAGAAACAAAACCCACAAGAGGUAAUAUACCAUGUCUCAUUCUACAACUUUCUUUUUUCAUUGAACUAAAUAUCUUGGCAAUCUAGCCAUAUCAAUACCUGGAGGCCCACCUCAUUUUUAAAGACUGCUUCAUGGUUGUGGUGGGCAGAGUAAAGCUUCCCUUCCAGAGAUAUCCACACAAUGACCCCUGGAACUUGUGACUGUGUCACCUUACAUGGCAAAGUGGCUGUGUAGAUGGGGUUAAAGGUGAGGGCCAUGAGAUAGGGAAAUUAUUUUGGAUUAUCACGGUCGGCACAGUCAACUCACCAGUCCUUUCCAGUGGAUGAGAAAGACAGAAAGGUAGGUAAGGGAGGAACAAUGUGGAAAGGAUUGCUCUUGCUGGCUUGGAAGAUGGAGGAAGGGGGCCAUGAACCCAGAUAUGCAUGGCCUCUAGAAACCAUGAAUGGGCCUCAGUUUACAGCCAGGAGGAAAAGGGAUCUCUGUUUUAUAACUUCAGGGAGCUGAAUUCUACCAUCAAAGGGAAUGAGUAGGGGCUGAGUUCUCCCCAAGAGCCUCCAGAAGAGACUUGGCCUGCCCUGGUCUUGUGACUUCCAGAACUAUCAAAUAGUACGGUAGUGUUCUUUUAAGUCACUAAGUUUGUAGUAAUUUGUUAUGACAGCGAUAGAAGACUAGUAAUAGAAUGCUGUUCUCUGGUGUGACCAUACCACAUUUAUUUCGCCACCCCUGUUGCUGAGGGAAGUUUAAGUUCCCAAUUUUUCUGUAUUUCCCUUGUGGCUGCCUGAUGGGAGGGGGAGGGAGUGGGAGGGAUCGGGAGCUUGGGCUUAUCAGACACAACUUAGAAUAGAUUUACAAGGAGAUCCUGCUGAAUAGCAUUGAGAACUUUGUCUAGAUACUCAUGUUGCAACAGAACAAAGAGUGGGGGGAAAAAUGUAAUUGUAAUGUAUACAUCUAAGGAUAACCUGACCCCCUUGCUAUACAGU
rnacentral:lncRNA from 1 species